AUUCAAAACACGUGGCAUAGAUCAGUUUAUUACUACCUAUCAUUCAUAGAUUCUCAGGAGGGAGACAGGUUAAUAAACAAAACAGAUGAGCAAAACAUAUAUGUCAAGUGAUACUUUUUAUGGAGAAGUAUAAAUCAGAGGGCUUAGGAAUUUUAAAUAGGAGGUGCUGUGGUCAGAAUAUUUGCAUCCCCCAAAUUCGUAUGUCGAAACAAUGGCCAAAGGAAGGGUGGUAGGAGGUGGGGCUUUGGGAAGGUGGUUAGGUCAUGGGCAUGGAGCCUUCAGAAAUGAGGUCAGCCAUCUUAGAAAAGAUGGCCAACCAGCUGGCAGGGUGUGAGGUCACCAUGUGAGGUCACAGCCAGAGGGCACUGUCACCAGACACCACACCUGCACCUCUUAGGUCUUGGACUUCUCAGCCUCCUGAACCGGGAAAUAAGCUCCUGCUGUUUGUAAGCUACACAGUCUACGGGGUUUUGUUACAGCAACUAAAGCACAUUAAGGUAGAAGAGAGGCUGAAAAGGUGACGUCUGUGUAAUGACCUGAAGGAGGAGCAUGAUGAGCCACAGACGUCAGAGGAGGAGCCUUCCAGCAAGGGCGGGGGGAGGGACUGUGCCCGCUGAGGUGAGGGCACAGUGAGGAGGCCAGAGGGAGGGAGCUGUGCCUGAGGAGAGAGGUGUGAAGAAGCCACAAGGAGAGAAAGAAUUUAGCCCAAAGAGGGCAAACUCUUGCAGCAGAGGAGCUGUGAUCCUCUUUGGCAUGGCAGUGGAUUAGCACAGCAGGACAAGACCGAGUGGUAGCCAGAGCAUCCAGAAUCAGGACUUUGUUUUCCUGAAAGGCCACGCACAUCUCUAAGCAUCGUGCAACCCGUUCAAGGCUCUGGGAGGAAGCAGGCUUGGUAGGAAGUCAUCCACAUGAAGUCCAUUAGCUGCGGAGUUCAGCAGGUAGAAACAAAUGAAUCGUGCCUGAUGGCUCCCGGCCGCUCCCUGUGGCCCUGACCUUCCAAGCCCUCAUUUCAGCAGCUUGCACACUCACGCUCCUUCCUCCCAGUUCAUUUCAUUCCGCCACGGACACAUGCACUGAAUCUUCAGAUGAGUCCAAUAACAAAUCACAGUGCACGCCUCAAUAAAUACUCCUGGGUGCGGAUUGUGCGCAGGGCACCGUGCUACUCAGGAUACAAGGGAGCCAGCCAGUCUGCCUUCUCAAUCUUUUCCUUAAGAUGUGUGGCGCUGUUUUGAUCUCUGUUUACUAUUUCUAACACUGAGUUGUGGGGGUAUUGGCCAGAGGUGAGUAUGAGGCGGAUAUGCAGAGGUAAGGAACUUCUGCAGUCACAUGUCCCAACGCUCCCCUCCCCAUGAAUGGUUAGAGUUUGCAAGAUAGCUUAUAGUCACACGUUCCAACCGCCCCCCGCUACACACAGACGUGCAUGGUUAGAGAUUGCAAGAUAGCUUAUAGGGCCACAAGUCCAAGUGGGAUUAAACACACUGCCUUAAGGAGUGAAUGCUCUAGAUUUUGUCUUCCCAGUACUCCGAUUUACCAUUUAGAUUGGUCCCAAAGUCAGUCAUGGAACAGACCACCUUGACCUUCCCCUAACUCCUACGUGAGUUCCUGCCCAGAUGCCCUUCAUUUCUCUUUUAUCCUUGUUUCCUGGUUCUAUCAAUAAAAGGCCACAGAGGGUUUAGUUUGGGGUUGUCAUUUGAAACUUUCUCACACUGAGGCAUCUUGGUUAACGGCGGCCCCUCUGGGCCCUCGUGGAGUGCGGAUUGGACACUGACUCCCAGUAAUCCUUUGUUUCAUCCUCUUGCAGGGAACCACAGUCGCGAGCUGUGACAAGUGGCGCCCUGUGAGGCACCUGUGAGGAAUAUAUGAGGACUAAGUUGGUGCAACUCAGUGAGAGCACUGACCUCCCAAAAUCUGGAAAAGGAACAAAGACGUCCAACUUCACAUCCCCGUAAGCUAAGGGCACAAAGGCGGCCAUGGCGUAGCUUGGCACGUCUCCAUGAGGUCACAGGUUAGGCUUAUCAGCCCAGAGGCCUGUCCAACUGCUAAGUGAGUAGGGGCAGUUCGUUUGUUCUUUUUGCUGUUUUACUUCUGUUCACAUGAUAUGGGUCACACUUUAUCCAAAGAGGACGUCUCUUGUUUCUGAACCUCACCUUAUUACAUUACUGAUCAUUAUUUGACAAUAACAUCCAUGUUUCCCCCUAGAGGACAGCCUGGAGGUGGAGCACUGGGAACACGUGGGUCAAAAAUUGAGGCAGUCAUUAGGUCCUGUAAAAGAUGCUAUCUGGCAUCUUUGCAAGGUUGCUAUUCUAGUCCAUCUACUCAAGCAAAAAGUUUCCCCUAAAAUGAUUUCCUCCUCCUCCCUCAGCUUCCUCUGAAAACCACCUUCUGCUUCCGACCCUCUAGGUGAACAAGAGAAAUGUUGGGGGGCGGGGGAGCUCUAAAAUUGUAAUACCACGUGCCAACUGGAAUUACUUUUUAAAAGUAAUAAAAAUAGAAAAUAAAACAGAAAAAAAAAAAACAGAAAAAGAAGAUAAAAUAGGAAAAGAAAAGGAAAACAAAAAUUUAAAAAAAGGAAAGAAAGCUAAAUACAAUGAAAAUCAAGCCAGCAAGGUAUGCUAAAUUGGGAAAAAUUUGUCAGGAAAAAGGAAUCCCCAUCAGUAUUUUUUACCAAGGCUCAAGCACACACAUAUAUGAGCCCAAAACUAUAAAGCUUAAAAGAGCAUCUGCAAUCUGUCCUUCGAUUUUCUUACUCCCUUCUCUGUAGCUCUCAGAAAGUUGAAGGGCAGUCAGGUUCUCUGAUUAGCGAUUUAAAUUUCUGUUUGGCAAUCUGGUUGGAUUUAAUCCAUACGUUAUGCUCCAGGGCGUGUCCCUUCUCAGUGGCUGCUGCGUUAGGAUUGAUAUCCAGGGGUGGUGGUUUCCCCUCUCAGCUGACUUUCACUUGUCUCUGUUCCAUAUUCUUAAAAGAAUGGUCUGGAUUUGAUCCUUGAACCCUCCAAAAGUAAGUGUAAAUGUUUUAGUCCAAGUUUAUUGGACUUUCUAUCCUCAGGCAGAACUAGAAGUUAACUCACUUUCCUCUCCUUCAGGAAUGCUGCUCCAGGAGACAGACCGACUUGUUUUUAUGGCACAGAUAUUUUCAUUGAUGAAACUAAAAAUAUUCAUAGGGAUACUUUUGAAUUUAUUAACAGUUUUAAAUAAAAACGGGUCUAUUCCAAUAAGAUAAACUGUUAGCAUAAAUCCCUUCUUAGUAACAGUCUUUGCUUUCACAAGUGUAAAAGGGUCUUUUCCUUCUAACUCAUUGCAAGAGAUUUCUGCUAAUUGAUAACCUAUAGGAAAAGUUCUGACUAGCCUGCUUAUAGUUACAAAACUAGGGGCUGGGGAUUUAGCUCAGCGGCAAGUGCCUGCCUGGCAAGUGCAAGGUUGUGAGUUCGAUUCCUGGUACCGGAAAACAAACAAACAAACAAACAAACAAAAAAAGCUAAACCCUACAAAAGGGUUACUGGAAUUCAACUUGGGCAGUAUAUCUAAGAGUGCACUCUGGUUUAAAAACAACCAUCUUUUGUGUUUGUAUGUUUGUGCAUUUGUCUGUUUAAUGUGUGUAAGUUAAAGCACCUGCUUCAUUUAAGAGGAAUUUAUUUUGAGCUCAACAAUUUUUAUUUUUCAGAUUAUUUUUGAGAUUUCUAUGGAGAGACCAUUUAUAUUACAGUAGGACUUAGAACAAAAAAGUCAAGUUUUGACAACCUAAGCAAAUUCCUCCUUAUACCCUUCUCCAAAGUCACAAAACUGUCAUUGCUCGAUUAACUGCCUGUUUCUCUCCUGUAAACUCGCUUGCCCACCCACCAGUUUUGAGGCACUGGAUAGACCAAUCCCUUCAACCACAUGCAUAAAACCACAGCCCUUUCUUUGUUCAGGGCUCAGCCUUUGAACACGAGUCUGCUGAGCCUGUGUGCACCUAAAUAAAUCCUCCUGUUUCACCUGUUGGUCUCUCCAGUGUCUUAAAAUUCUGCAACAUUUCCUGGGGGCUCGCCUGGUACUGGAGAUGACAGUCUUGCUGUUUCCUUUGCCUAUAGCCCAGGCCCUCAGCUAAGGGAGACCCCAAGAUCCCUGGAGCCACCAGGUGAGACUUGAAUUCAGAGAGGGAACUGACUCUCCUGUAGCCUGGAGUCCCUCCCUGUCAACAGAACCUGAGGGGCUACAGGAUGAUUCUGGAACAGCGUGCUGCAGGACUACAGUAAGGUUUUGGGCCUGAGGAAUGACUCAUCCUACAAGAGUGGAAGGGGAGCCUGAUCACCUCCUGGGGUUGGGGUGCUGAGUAAUCUGAGUAAUCUGAGUAAUCCAGGCAAGUUCAGAUGAAACCUGCACCCCAGCUGGGAAAAGGAACCAAAAAUGCUGAGGUUUAUGACUGUGUGUGAAUAACCAGAGUGAAAUUGGUGGGGCUGCAGGUCUCUUAGGAUAGACUGUAUGUCUUGAGCAAGUGUGGGACCGACCUGCACUGGAAGAGCACCCGAGCAACUGGCUGGUCUGGAGUGGGGGCAUAGGGUGGGCAGACUUAGGCCCAGCUGGGCCUGGUGAAGUGGGAGGGAUGAAAUAGGGGUCAUCUUUUUACUUAAGAGAGAGCACUGAGGGAGGCAGUGUGGGGAAGGUGGGAGCCACAAAGUCCCCUUGCCUGGCUGUGCCUAUGGCUGGAUACACAUUGUCCUCAUAGGCGAGAGGCUGGGACCACAGACUUUGGCAGCCUUGGGUCAGAGACACUGUAGCAGGCAGGUGGUGAGCAGCACUCUGGGAGCACUUGGGACCUGAGCAUAAGGACCAUGUGCUGGCCAGAGCCCUGGAGCAGGCAGCUGUGGGCUGUGAGUUCUGUGGGGCGAGGCAGAGAAGCGUGCAUCCACGGUCUCCUUUGCUCGGCUUCUGGAACUUGAGGUUGGUGCUUACUUGGUGUAACCAGCCUGGUGUUGCUUGCAAACAUCUGGAAGCCAGAGCCCAAGGCACUGUGUUCAGGAUCCUAGCCCAUGGAGGCAUGAGAAUUUGUAGGAUCACUGGCUUUGUGUGGAUUGCUGGGGGUCUUUGGUGAGGGGAGAAGAAAUGGGGUCCUUGGUAAAGCUUGGGAAUUGAGGGAGUGCCUGGCUUGAGAAGUAGAGGAUGAAUUUAUAAAAGGGAAGGCAGUCUAAUUGACCUACAGUGAAAGCGGUUGAAAGGUUCCAGUGAUUUGUGAUGUAACAGAGAGGAUAGCGAGGAAAAGCGUCAAAACCCCCACUUAGAAUGUAUGAUAAGGAACUUUAAAAGAGCCUAUAGAGGGGACCGUGGAGUAAAGCUGACCCCCCAGAGAUUGAGAAACUUUUGUGAAGUUGAUUGGUUCUCCUUUGAUGUUGCAUGGCCGGCCCAAAGAACAAUAGGUAGGGGUUCAACUGGGUAUGUAUAUCAGGGGUGAUCUGGACGUAGGACAGCCAGGGCAUUUGUACCAAUUUCCUUAUAUCAACUCAUAGCUGAACAUAGUCCAGACCCAACCUGGUUGGCUACAGCCCUGUCUGGUAGCAUAUUGUAGAACACUCAUGGCUGAGCUGAAUCAAAAGAAAGAGGAAUCGGCCCUGCAGGGAGCCUUGGAGACAAAGGGAUGAAGACAAACUGAUUCUACCAGAGCUACCAGAGGAGGCAGAGAUACUCCCCACUUUACUCCCCAAUCUAUCUUCUCUUGCAGUGCUAGCCUGUGGAGAAAGAGGAUCAAAUGACAAGGAGUUCCAGGCAUCACCUCAGAGGGAAGAACCAGGACCACUGCCCCAGGAGGGGAAUGAGGAAAGCCUGAAUAAUCAAUUGGCUGAAACUGGCAGACCAAGACAAGCGAAUGAGCCAACAGGAUCCAGACCCUCUGAACUGACGGAUCCUAUGGCAAAACCAAGCUGCUGCUGCGAACAGCAGCUCUGCUCUAGUCACCCCAGAAGCUGACCAGUCUACACAUGGCUGAAGCUUGAGGAUCAGCAUGGAGUUACAAUGACAACAUGAGUCUCUUUUACUUUUUGUUCUAAUUCUCCUUUGCCCCUGCUGGGAGAAAAAUCCCUAGAGGGAUGUUCCCCUUGCAUCUAUACCACACAGUCAGGGAGCAUCAUAAUAGGGACCUUGCUCUGUCAUACCUAUUAUGAAUGUACAGGGACACAGUGGGGAACUUGUACUCAUAAUCAAACCGCCCACUCAGUUUGUGACCCAGGAGAUAACCAACCCUACAUCUGUUAUGACCCCAAGUCUCCACCUUAUGAAACAUGGUAUGAGGUCCAUGCUGGAAAAGUGGAAACAGGUGAUGGUGGCCUCUUAAACAAAACUAAGGUCUGUUCAAAUCAUAACGGGGCCAUUUCUUUGUAGUUUGAUGUAUGUCAAGCAACAUAUCUAGACCCAUCCACAACCUCAUUUGGAAGUCUAUCGUGGGAAAGAUAUCAUAGACACAGUCCUAUAUUCAUAUGUGCACCAUGGAAAGGGACCAGCCAUUAUUGAUGCCCCCGUUCCCAAUCAUGACAAGGCUCUGAAUGGUUCUGCUGGCUAUGUGUAACUUGGGCUACUAGCCUAUUUGGCCAAUAAUCUACACCUCCAACAUCAGGGCAAGAGGCUGCAACCCUUGCAAAAUUACCUACCAAACCAGAUUGUCAGUCAAGAACCUGUAAUGCUGUAAACUGCACCAUUCUACAGGUGGGCCAGCUUAAUGGGCUGCAGAUUACCCUAUGACAUUAAUGCUUGGCUAUAGAGGAUGAAGCCCAAAAACUUACAUAUAGUCAGAAAGACUAGGACUCAUUCAGCCCAACAACUCUGAAUGUCUGACUCGUUAUAUGAGCAUAUUCAACAAGACUUGGUUGAAAACAUAGCCCAAAACCUCAAUGUCUCCUCAUGUUAUGUCUGAGGGGGAACCGACAUGGGACACCAAUGGCCAUGGGAAGCAAGAGAAUUGAUACUAGAAGACAACUUCAUCCUACCCACGUAUUCCCCCAACCCCAUGUUCACCCACCCUAGCAUCUGGUAUUUAAAAACCUCUAUCAUGGGAAGGUUCUGCAUCGCUUGCUGGGGGAGGGCCUUCACAGAUCCAGUGGGAGAACUAACUUGCCUGGGGCAGUAAUACUAUAAUGAGACUCUAGGGAAAACUUUGUGGUGGGGAAAACAAAAUCGUUCUCAUUACCCCACUCCAAUUCAUUCUUUCUUUUCCCCUUCUUAAACCACUCUUGGGAUCAGUUAGAGGCCCCAAAUGACUGGAAGGCACCUUCUGGCCUCUAUUGGGUCUGUGGAUUUUGAGGAUACUGACAACUACCAGCUAAAUGGUCAGGGGCCUGUACACUGGGGACAGUUAGACCAUCCUUCUUUCUAAUCCCCUUAAAGCAGGGACAAACUCUAGGGUAUCCUGUCCAUGAAGAAGCUGGUAAGAAAAUUAAAAGGCCCAUUAAAAUAGAAGAUUAGAAAGAUGAUGAGUGGCCCCCAAAGGGAGUUAUCCAGUAUUAUGGCCCACCUGCCUGGGCAGAAGGUGGAAUGCGGGGAUACCACUUCCUAUUUACACACUUAACCGUAUCAUAAGAUUACAGGCCAUGCUUGAGCUCAUUAUCAGUGGGAUAUACUGCUUUGUACCUAAAGAAGUAUGUGCUGUUUAUUUAAAGUUAAUUUUAACUAAUCAUUCUGUGCUUUUCCCCAUUGGAUUUUAAAAUUUCAUUUCAUCUUUAAUUGACAAAUAGUUAUGUACAUUUAUGCAAUACAAUGAGAUGUUUUGGGAUAUAUAUACAUUCCAAUGAAAUCCUCCCAAUGAACAUAUAUGUUACAUGAACAUAUAUGUCACCAGGAAGAUGUUUUUUAUUUUUUAUGGUGAGAACAGUUAAACAAGACUAGUAAGUUUGAAACAUGCACUUAUUAUUAACUGUAGUCACCAUGCUACGUCAUAGAUCUUUAAACAUCAUUUUUAUUUACUAUAACUGGUUAUGCCAAUAUGGUUUCCAUUUGCUUUUUUUUUCUUCU